GCGUGCCUAAUACAUGCAAGUCGAGCGAACGGACGAGAAGCUUGCUUCUCUGAUGUUAGCGGCGGACGGGUGAGUAACGCGUGGAUAACCUACCUAUAAGACUGGGAUAACUUCGGGAAACCGGAGCUAAUACCGGAUAAUAUUUUGAACCGCAUGGUUCAAAAGUGAAAGACGGUCUUGCUGUCACUUAUAGAUGGAUCCGCGCUGCAUUAGCUAGUUGGUAAGGUAACGGCUUACCAAGGCAACGAUGCAUAGCCGACCUGAGAGGGUGAUCGGCCACACUGGAACUGAGACACGGUCCAGACUCCUACGGGAGGCAGCAGUAGGGAAUCUUCCGCAAUGGGCGAAAGCCUGACGGAGCAACGCCGCGUGAGUGAUGAAGGUCUUCGGAUCGUAAAACUCUGUUAUUAGGGAAGAACAUAUGUGUAAGUAACUGUGCACAUCUUGACGGUACCUAAUCAGAAAGCCACGGCUAACUACGUGCCAGCAGCCGCGGUAAUACGUAGGUGGCAAGCGUUAUCCGGAAUUAUUGGGCGUAAAGCGCGCGUAGGCGGUUUUUUAAGUCUGAUGUGAAAGCCCACGGCUCAACCGUGGAGGGUCAUUGGAAACUGGAAAACUUGAGUGCAGAAGAGGAAAGUGGAAUUCCAUGUGUAGCGGUGAAAUGCGCAGAGAUAUGGAGGACACCAGUGGCGAAGGCGACUUUCUGGUCUGUAACUGACGCUGAUGUGCGA
rnacentral:rRNA from 1 species